GUCAGCGUAGUGUAGUGGUUUGAGCAUUGGAUCAUGACUCCAGAGAGCAGGGUUCGAAUCCCAGCCCAGCCA